AGGGAUAUAGCUCAGUGGUAGAGUGUGUGCUUAGCAUGCAUGAGGUCCUGGGUCCAAUCCCCAGUACUUCCA
rnacentral:tRNA from 1 species